UACGUAGGGACCAAGCGUUGUUCGGAUUUACUGGGCGUAAAGGGCGCGUAGGCGGCAAUUCAAGUCAUCUGUGAAAUCUCCGGGCUUAACUCGGAAUGGUCAGGUGAUACUGCUUUGCUAGAGUGCAGAAGGGGCAAUCGGAAUUCUUGGUGUAGCGGUGAAAUGCGUAGAUAUCAAGAGGAACACCUGAGGUGAAGACGGGUUGCUGGGCUGACACGUGACGCUGAGGCGCGAAAGCUAGGGGAGCAAACGGGG
rnacentral:rRNA from 1 species